rnacentral:rRNA from 1 species
GUGCCAGCAGCCGCGGUAAUACGGAGGGUGCAAGCGUUAUCCGGAUUUACUGGGUUUAAAGGGUGCGUAGGCGGGCUUUUAAGUCAGUGGUGAAAACUCCGAGCUUAACUCGGAAACUGCCAUUGAUACUAUUAGUCUUGAAUUUAGUUGAGGUUGGCGGAAUGUGUCGUGUAGCGGUGAAAUGCUUAGAUAUGACACAGAACACCGAUUGCGAAGGCAGCUGGCUAAACUAAAAUUGACGCUGAGGCACGAAAGUGUGGGGAUCAAACAGGAUUAGAAACCCGGGUAGUCC